AACGAACGCUGGCGGCAUGCCUAACACAUGCAAGUCGAACGAGACCUUCGGGUCUAGUGGCGCACGGGUGCGUAACGCGUGGGAAUCUGCCCUUGGGUUCGGAAUAACAGCGAGAAAUUGCUGCUAAUACCGGAUGAUGACGUAAGUCCAAAGAUUUAUCGCCCAAGGAUGAGCCCGCGUAGGAUUAGCUAGUUGGUGAGGUAAAGGCUCACCAAGGCGACGAUCCUUAGCUGGUCUGAGAGGAUGAUCAGCCACACUGGGACUGAGACACGGCCCAGACUCCUACGGGAGGCAGCAGUGGGGAAUAUGGACAAGUGGGCGGAAAGCCUGAUCCAGCAAUGCCGCGUGAGUGAUG
rnacentral:rRNA from 1 species